UGAGGAAUAUUGGACAAUGGACGCAAGCCUGAUCCAGCCAUGCCGCGUGCAGGAAGAAGCAUCUAUGGUGUGUAAACUGCUUUUGUACGGGAAGAAACACCCCUUCGUGAAGGAGCUUGACAGUACCGUAAGAAUAAGGAUCGGCUAACUCCGUGCCAGCAGCCGCGGUAAUACGGAGGAGCCAAGCGUUAUCCGGAAUCAUUGGGUUUAAAGGGUCCGUAGGCGGUUUAGUAAGUCAGUGGUGAAAGCCCAUCACUCAACGAUGGAACGGCCAUUGAUACUGCUAGACUUGAAUUAUUAGGAAGUAACUAGAAUAUGUAGUGUAGCGGUGAUAUGCUUAGAUAUUACAUGGAAUACCAAUUGCGAAGGCAGGUUACUACUAAUGGAUUGACGCUGAUGGACGAAAGCGUGGGGAGCGAACA
rnacentral:rRNA from 1 species